GGACCCUACUGCUAUCGGGGUGGGACUAAAACAUGCUAGUCGAGCGUCUCCAAGCCAUGGUGGAGGCGCGGCGUACAGCUCAGUAACACGUGGCUAACCUACCCUUGGGACGGGAACACCCCCGGGAAACUGGGGUUAAUUCCCGAUGGGUGAGGAGGCCUGGAAUGGUUCUUCACUGAAAGGGCGCUAGAGGCAUGCUCUCUAACGUUGCCCAAGGAUGGGGCCGCGGCCGAUCAGGUUGUUGGUGAGGUAACGGCUUACCAAGCCUAUAACCGGUACGGGCCGUGAGAGCGGAAGCCCGGAGAUGGGCACUGAGAUAAGGGCCCAGGCCCUACGGGGCGCAGCAGUUGCGAAAACUCCGCAAUGCACGAAAGUGUGACGGGGCUACCCCGAGUGCCGUCCGCUGAGGAUGGCUUUUCUCCGCUGUAAGGAGGCGGAGGAAUAAGGAGAGGGCAAGACUGGUGUCAGCCGCCGCGGUAAUACCAGCUCUCCGAGUGGUAGGGGUGAUUAUUGGGCUUAAAGCGUCCGUAGCCGGCCUGGCAAGUCUUCCGUUAAAUCCAGCAACCUAAUUGUUGGGCUGCGGGGGAUACUGUUAGGCUAGGGGGCGGGGGAGGCCGACGGUAUUCUCGGGGUAGGGGUGAAAUCUUAUAAUCCCGGGAGGACCACCAGUGGCGAAGGCUGUCGGCUAGCACGCGCCUGACGGUGAGGGACGAAAGCUGGGGGAGCGAACCGGAUUAGAUACCCGGGUAGUCCCUGCUGUAAACGAUGCGAGCUAGGUGUUGGGGCGGCUACGAGCCGCUUCAGUGCCGCAGCGAAGGCGUUAAGCUCGCCGCCUGGGGAGUACGGCCGCAAGGCUGAAACUUAA
rnacentral:rRNA from 1 species